UUAAAGCAAAAAAGAAAAUGAACUUUAGACUUUAUUUAAUCUAAUGUCAUUUUACAACUGAAGAAACUGAGACUUGGAAAGAUCAAGUUACUUUGCCAAGGUCCCAGGUUAUAAAGGACAGAGCCAGCAUUUAAAUCAAUUCCUUCAACUCCAAAUCUAGCUGCUUGGGGGAAAAGCAGGAGGAAUGCUGGGAAUCUGUGGAGAUGAAGAAAAAGAAGACGACCCUUCCUUCAAUUGUGGUCACUGAACUGUGACUGAAGAUGAGGACCUUUGCCAGAAGAGUCCUCAUAUCUGGGGCUAUGACUAUUGGGAUUUACCUAGAUCUUUGGGGCUAAUGGUUACUCAUUCAAGGGUCCCGGUUUUAUUUUCCUUUCUCUGUUCUUCUGUAAUUUUGUGAUUCAACUGUGUGUUUUCAAAUUGAUCUUAUGGUAUUGGGACUACAUAGAAAUUCAUGUUUAAUUGUUCCUGGAUUUCUUCCCAAAGUGUACCCUGGCCCUUGGUGUCAUGAGACUCUCUGAAACUUCCUAGAAGCCAAACAAAGGAAUUUUCUGGGCUCCACUAUGGAUGUUGUCCAGAACCUCUGUGUAAAGUGUGGGUCACAAGCCUUCCAAGUACGUAAUAAGAUUGACUUAUAGUGCAGCCCAAUUUCAAAUACACUCAGUUCUGCUGUAACUCAUGUUUUGGAAAUGUGACUUUGUUCCAACACCAUUGACGUAUUGAGGAAUAUUCUGAGCAUGACUCAAGUUUCAAGUCUGCCUUUGCACAAUUUCUUCUGUAAGAAACAGCAAGAAAGCAGAAAACAGCACCACUUCACAACAAAUCACAAGAUGUAGCACUUCUGAUGCCUACUUCUAUAAGCUUACUUCCGGUCUUUGUCAAGUGAACUUAAUCAACUGACAGGAUGAACAGAACGACUAAGAACAGAAAGAGAGGACUGACCACGGAUCGUAGAAGUUCCAUCAGAAACUGAAGUUGAAGAUUACCCAAAGAGCAAUGAAGAGCAACGUGGUGGGUAUGAAUGAGUUGAAACAUAUGGCAAGCAAAUAUGCUGAAGGAUCAGUAUAAAGGACGUUGUCAGAAAAAAUAUGACUGAAAAAAAAAGAUGGACCAGUCACAUAGUGAAAGCAAGGAAUAACCAGUGGACUACUGGUUAUUAUACUAACUAUGUGUCCCAUUGGUAUCCAUAAUACAACAAGAGAAUGUGAGGAAGGCUCCCAGUAUGUCUGUGGUGGAUUUGGGGGGAGGAUUUGGACGAGAGUACCAAAGAAUGGGUCCACAUGGAUACAUUGCAAUCUAUAUCAUUGGAGGGAGUGGCCAUAUCACUGAAACCAGGGAUUCAUUAGCAUCUUGGAGUAUUCAAAGUAUUUAUUUUAUAUAACUAAAGCACGAAAAUUGUUUGAAUUGUUUAAAUUGUUUGAAUUGUAUGAUGGUGAAAUUCAGAGAUAAGGUUUGUUCUAAUCUCUUUUUUAUCCUUAGUAGUUGCAUAUCACAAGUAUGCAACUAAAUUUAAAUAUAAAUUUACUUGCCAAGCUGACAUUCCCCACUGGAUUUAUCAAUUAAGCACACCCAUAAAGUAUGUAUGUGGCCUUCCUUCAAGAACUUAAGACUACAGGGAAGAAUGCUCUGGCACUGAAAUGCUGAUGAGAUAGGCAGAGAAAAGCAUUGGUAGUAGGUUUUCUAUUAACCAGUCAAUCAUUGACUAUUUAGGGUCUUUAUGUAAUUUUCUGUGAUCAAGAUUAGGGUGUUAAUGAAGAACAAAGAUGAUCUCUUGUCUUAGUGGGAGAGAAAGUUCAAAGAAAUAAGGAAAAUCUGACAUGCCAUGGCUUUUAGCCUUCCCACUAAGUUUCCAAUAAA